UGCAAAAUGUAUCUCUGGCGCUCUCUCUGCAUCGAAACAGCCGCCGGCCACCACCGCCGCCGCCGUCAAUUACCGGUGGAGCAAGUGAUUAAAUCUAACUUCUCCGAGACUAUAGCAGAAUUCAAGGACAGCAUAUUUCCCCAGAGCUUUGUUAAGUUAAAUUUAGCAUUUCUUGAAUUUUUAUCUUUGCAUCUGCGAUUCAGUUUGAUUACUGGCUUAUUAUUGUUGUGUGAAGAUGAAUUGAAUUAAACUGCUAUGAUUGUGCAUUUGCUGAAGAUUAUGAGCAAAUGCGGUGAUUUGCUACGCUGUGGAGAAGGCAUUGUGAUUGGCAAAAUUCUUAGUAGUAUUUAUAUGAAAGUAAUGAUACUACGAAGCUAUCAAUGUUUCCUCAAAUUUGAAUAUAAUUUGAUUGGUAGUUGAUAAUUGUGGUAGUUUGGCUUUGAGGGCUUAAAUUUGCUCUGUAAUCAUUGAAUAUUUCACAAAAUCCUUCACAGAAUUAUGGAUGUGGCUGUUUCUGUCUAGCACGACUAAUGCCAUCACGCUAGGUGAAGAGUGCUCGAGUUAAGAACUGGAUGAAUUGUUGUAACAAUGAACAUAAAACCGAGGGGCCCUAAGGAAACUAGUAGGAAGAUCUGAAAUCUAUGGUUCGAGACCAUCCUUGACCAUAGAUGUCUGCAGCGAACGCCAGGUGCAGCUUAUGUCAGAGUCGUUGAAAGAGUUUGUUAAUAUUGUACUAGUACGAGCUCCAGCAAAAGCAUCUUAUUGUGAAGGAAAUUCAAGAUCUGGAAGAGGAGCAGGGAAGACUUGUUAGUGGCUUUCGAGAGGUGAUAGACUUGAUUUCUACUUCACAGAGGCUGGUUGUUGUGCACAACUCACUUAAUGAUUUUGCUUUCAUACAUUCAAAGUUCCUUGCUCCACUUCCUCCAACUAUGAAUGAAUUCACGAGUUCUUUGCUUUCGGUGUAUCCUCACAUACUCGACAUCAACCAUCUCAUGAAGGAAAUUGGAUUGUUUAAUAAAAUGACUUCUAGAUAGUCUUUUGUUAUUUGUCCUGACAUCAUAGUAUUGAUGAGUUUAAUAAAGCAGAGUUAUUGCGUAGGUGUAAAUCAAUUACUGAUGACUUCCUUUUCAGCCGAGGAGACUGACCGUGUCAAUGUUCAUGGGCAUUGUGUUAUGAGAGAAUGCCAUUUGUUUGUUCUUCAACGCUGCUCCAAUAUGUUUUGUUCAAGUAGAAUGCUCAGUGUAAGCAAUUUGGUAUUCGUGUGGGGGUUUAGAAGUGGAAUGUCGGCCCAAGAUCUGAGAGACGUUCUGUGUAAUUCACAUGAUGUCUUCUCAGAAGAAUUUGAUGUUAAGAUGGUGGAUAGGACAUGUGCUAUAGUUGUUUCUCAAAAAGUUUUCUCAGGAUAAUGGAUUCUGGAGAACUUUUCUCUAAUAAGCUGAAAGAUAUGAUCUCGGAAGGCCUGCAAGCUGCAGAUUACGAGGCAUGCAGAGAAGUUUGUGAAAACCAGAUUUAGCCGAGUGCUUGGGCCUAGCCACAAAUGAAAUCAAAGAGCUUUAUCUUUGCAAAUUCAUUAAACAUCAUUUGUGAUAUUAUGGCACUAAUCAAGAAAUGGACCAAUAUUGAUCUUUGUA